GAAUGACUAUGGAAUAUUCAUGUUGAUGUUUGACAUGCCUGAAUCAGGAGGUGGUGGUGCCAUCAGUUACUACAGGCAUUUCCUCUGGCAAGCCAACAGUCAGUCACCAAACCAAUGAUCCAACUGGAUCUAAACGUUAUGGAGGUCACCCCA